rnacentral:lncRNA from 1 species
CGUGAAUCCCUAGCCAAUCAGAUCGCAGUGUAGGGCGAUGUAAACUGUCCAAUGAAAAGCGCUAUUCUUUAACUUUUCUUCUGGCGCUCUGUGUUUGAGACCAGAGACUGGGCUGAGCAGGUCACUUGGCAGCCUCGGACACAUUGUGAACUCUGACUGCGGCAUCCUUAGCGAGGACACCAGGACACCCCGGAACCUGGACAUGUUCAGGAAGAAGGCUGAUGACCAGACAGAGCAAACACAGACUUUGAAGUGGCAUCUGUGGGACUGUGGUGAGACAGCCCUGAAGUUGUUGAGAUUUUGGUAAGUCUAGAUGGUAUCAGAAUUGAAUUAUGAGACAACCAGUUGGUGUUGAAUUGGUUGGCUCUGUACAUUUUGUGUCACUCAUGACGUGAAAAAAACAGCAGUAGUAGAAAUCUUAAACUGACUCUAGGUGUGUUUGGUAACUCUCUGAAUUAAACUUGCAGAGGAGGGGUCUUUUCAUAAUAGAAGCAGAAGGAAGGAAAUUUCCUGGCUGCUCAGCUCCCUCUCCUGCUGGGAAGGAGCCACUUUGGGCUGCCUCUGCCAUUGAGAGUGGUCUCUAAGCAUAGGCAUGUGUUUGACCUUCUGAGUGUGGGGCCAUUGUGAAAUAUGGGGGAAACAGACUACUUUCCAGAGCUGCUUCCUUUCUGUUUUUCCUGCUGACAUCUUGUUUCUGUAAAAUACCAUUUUACUUUAACAUUUCAGGAUUUUUAUUUGAUGGUGUGAGUUACAGAUUGUGAUUUUCUUGAUAUCUGGGUGGAUAGAGUGAUGAGGUCCAAAGAAGC